rnacentral:misc_RNA from 1 species
AUGGCUCUUGCAGGAUAUCCAAGAAAUGAAACAUUCCAUACGCUCAACAAACCUAAAAGUACAGGAAUAUUUUUCUCAAAUGAAGCUGAAGAGAAGUGCUGAUCAAUACUUGAUGCUCCUUUCAAGAACUUCUCAACAAUUGAGAAACCAUAUUGGAGAGACAAAGGCAAUACACCAACAGCACUGCAAACGCUGUACCUGCCACCAACCCAGUCCCAGAAUGCAAAAGCAUUAUUAGGAUC